UAAGGAAUAUUGGACAAUGGGCGCAAGCCUGAUCCAGCCAUGCCGCGUGAAGGAUUAAGGUCCUCUGGAUUGUAAACUUCUUUUAUAAGGGACGAAAAAAGGGAAUUCUUUCUCACUUGACGGUACCUUAUGAAUAAGCACCGGCUAACUCCGUGCCAGCAGCCGCGGUAAUAGGGAGGGUGCAAACGUUAUCCGGAUUCACUGGGUUUAAAGGGUGCGUAGGCGGGUAUUUAAGUCAGUGGUGAAAUCCUAGAGCUUAACUCUAGAACUGCCAUUGAUACUAUUUAUCUUGAAUAUUGUGGAGGUAAGCGGAAUAUGUCAUGUAGCGGUGAAAUGCUUAGAUAUGACAUAGAACACCUAUUGCGAAGGCAGCUUACUACGCAUAUAUUGACGCUGAGGCACGAAAGCGUGGGGAUCAAACAGG
rnacentral:rRNA from 1 species